rnacentral:rRNA from 1 species
CAGUCGCCACGGGAAUACGAAGGGGGCUAGCGUUGCUCGGAAUGACUGGGCGUAAAGGGCGCGUAGUCGGCCAUUCAAGUUAGAUGUGAAAGCCCUGGGCUCAACCUAGGAAUUGCAUUUGAUACUGUUUGGCUUGAGUUCGGGAGAGGUGAGUGGAAUUCCCAGUGUAGAGGUGAAAUUCGUAGAUAUUCGGAAGAACACCAGUGGCGAAGGCGGCCCGCUGGACAUGUAUUGACGCUGAGGUGCGAAAGCGUGGGGAGCAAACAGGAUUAGAUACCCCGGUAGUCCCUGUCUCUUAUAA